rnacentral:rRNA from 1 species
GAUGAACGCUGGCGGCGUGCCUCAGACAUGCAAGUCGAACGAUUAAAGCUCUCUUCGGAGAGUGUAUAGAGUGGCGCACGGGUGAGUAACACGUAAGUAAUCUGCCUUUGAGUGGGGAAUAACGUCCGGAAACGGACGCUAAUACCGCAUAAUGCAGCGGCAUCGCAAGAUGACAGUUGUUAAAGAUUUAUCGCUUGAAGAGGAGCUUGCGGCAGAUUAGCUAGUUGGUAAGGUAAUGGCUUACCAAGGCUACGAUCUGUAACCGGUCUAAGAGGACGGUCGGUCACACUGACACUGAAUAACGGGUCAGACUCCUACGGGAGGCAGCAGUCGGGAAUUUUGGGCAAUGGGCGAAAGCCUGACCCAGCAACGCCGCGUGAAGGAUGAAGUAUUUCGGUAUGUAAACUUCGAAAGAAUGGGAAGAAUAAAUGACGGUACCAUUUAUAAGGUCCGGCUAACUACGUGCCAGCCGCCGCUGUAA